rnacentral:rRNA from 1 species
UACGUAGGGGGCAAGCGUUGUCCGGAAUCAUUGGGCGUAAAGCGCGUGUAGGCGGCUCGAUAAGUCUGCUGUGAAAGUCCAGGGCUCAACCCUGGAAUGCCGGUGGAAACUGUCGGGCUAGAGUCCGGAAGAGGCGAGUGGAAUUCCUGGUGUAGCGGUGAAAUGCGCAGAUAUCAGGAGGAACACCAAUGGCGAAGGCAGCUCGCUGGGACGGUACUGACGCUGAGACGCGAAAGCGUGGGGAGCAAACAGG